UCUGUUAGUUGGCUCCGGGUUUUCGGUGGAAGUGUCGUGUUUUGUUACCUGUUUUGUGCAAAGUUAGUGUGCAUGAACAUGUUAAAACGUGUGUUUGAAAUGAAACUAAAAGCAAAGAAUUUCUAUUUCUAAAAUACAAUGUGAAAUAGCGAACACGUCCACAGAUGUUGAUGAACUGUUUGAUGAUUUCUGUACUGUGAGGACAUAGAAUUUAGAGUGACAGUGGAGGCAGAUAGACGUCCAUUAUGAAACAUUAAGCCAGUUCAGUGACUUUUAUAUUCAAACCAGACACACUCGUUUAGGUGAAUAUGUGUUUUGUGUAUCAUACCGGGUGCACCUAUCCCAGUGGAAAGAAAGUUCUCGCAAAUGAA